CCAGUGCAGAUUUAUGGCCUCAAUGCAGUCUUCAACCACCACUUCCACCAAUAUACAAAGAGAAGAAGGGCAGACCACAAAAAUUAAGAAGAAGAGAAUCAGAUGAGCCCCCUGCCCCAGGUCAGACAAAGUUGAAGAAAAGUUGCAGAACCAAUAAAUGUAGAAGAUGUGGACAAACAUGACACAAUGUGAGGAGAUGUGGACAGAGUGGAGGGACACAUGAAAGUAGAGUUGAGAAGAAUGUUAUAGAACCUCCAACCAAUCCAUCUGACCCUCAACCAACCACUCAAACUCAACCACAACCUCAAUCAACCACACAACCCCAGCCUAACAAAAGGGGGAAACAUGAGGCCAGAAGACCAAGUAAUGUUGGAAUAAAUAUAGGACAUAUGUCCAAUGCAACUACUUCAGUGACUAUCAAUCAAGGUUCAGCAGCAAAUAUUCUGGUGAAUGGAAGGUGAACUACAUCACAUUGUCCAAUUUAAAAGCUUCAGUUGGGAAUCAAGACAAAUGAGCAUCAACCUCUACUCCUCAUUCAAUGAGACCACCACUCACAAAGACUCCCCCUUCAAGGACUGCACCUGGAUCUUUGUCUGCUCUAAGGACAAGAUCAACUCCCACCCCAAAUCCUACAAGGACAUCUAACAAAGAAGAUGGCACCUCAUCAAAGACUAGAUCUGAUGCUUACAGUCUUUAGAUCAAUUUUAUGUUAUUUUUGUGUUUUUUGGUUUGAACUGUCUGUUUGGUGGUUGAUUUGGCAAUUUCUGAACUUAUGUAACAGAAAGAUUUGUUGUGUUUCUGUUACAAGUGUUUGUUGGUUUCAAGUAUGUGUUUUGUGCACUGUUGUGUUGGUUUGAACUCUGUUGCAUUGUUUUGUGCACUGUUGUGUUGGUUUGUGUUAUUGUGUUGCUUUUUGAUGAAUUUAUGUGAUGUAACAUAUUUUUGUUAAUUGAUGUUUGUUGCUUUAAUGGUUGUUUAAACAUUU